rnacentral:rRNA from 1 species
CGAACUACUGGAACGGUAGCUAAUACCGCAUAACGUCGCAAGACCAAAGAGGGGGACCUUCGGGCCUCUUGCCAUCAGAUGUGCCCAGAUGGGAUUAGCUAGUAGGUGGGGUAACGGCUCACCUAGGCGACGAUCCCUAGCUGGUCUGAGAGGAUGACCAGCCACACUGGAACUGAGACACGGUCCAGACUCCUACGGGAGGCAGCAGUGGGGAAUAUUGCACAAUGGGCGCAAGCCUGAUGCAGCCAUGCCGCGUGUAUGAAGAAGGCCUUCGGGUUGUAAAGUACUUUCAGCGGGGAGGAAGGUGUUGUGGUUAAUAACCGCAGCAAUUGACGUUACCCGCAGAAGAAGCACCGGCUAACUCCGUGCCAGCAGCCGCGGUAAUACGA